UACAGAGGUCCCAAGCGUUACUGAGAAUCACUGGGUUUAAAGGGUGCGUAGGUGGUCCGUUAAGUCAGUUGUGAAAUCCCCGGGCUCAACCCGGGAACUGCUUCUGAUACUGGCGGACUUGAGGCCAGUAGAGGUCACUGGAACUGACGGUGGAGCGGUGAAAUGCGUAGAUAUCGUCAGGAACGCCGGUGGUGAAGACGGGUGACUGGGCUGGUUCUGACACUGAGGCACGAAAGCGUGGGGAGCGAACGGG
rnacentral:rRNA from 1 species